rnacentral:tRNA from 1 species
CGUGGAGUAGCUCAAUUGGAUAGAGCACCCCUCUUGCUAGUCGGUAAGAGUCGAUAUCCUACCGUACGGAGGGGAGGUUGCAGGUUCAAGUCCUGCCUCCACGC